UACGAAGGGGGCUAGCGUUGCUCGGAAUCACUGGGCGUAAAGCGCACGUAGGCGGCUUUCUAAGUCAGGGGUGAAAUCCUGGAGCUCAACUCCAGAACUGCCUUUGAUACUGGAGAGCUUGAGUCCGGGAGAGGUGAGUGGAACUCCGAGUGUAGAGGUGAAAUUCGUAGAUAUUCGGAAGAACACCAGUGGCGAAGGCGGCUCACUGGCCCGGUACUGACGCUGAGACGCGAAAGCGUGGGGAGCAAACAGG
rnacentral:rRNA from 1 species